UACGAAGGGGGCUAGCGUUGCUCGGAAUUACUGGGCGUAAAGCGCACGUAGGCGGCUUUUUAAGUCGGGGGUGAAAUCCUGGAGCUCAACUCCAGAACUGCCUUCGAUACUGGAAAGCUCGAGUCCGGGAGAGGUGAGUGGAACUGCGAGUGUAGAGGUGAAAUUCGUAGAUAUUCGCAAGAACACCAGUGGCGAAGGCGGCUCACUGGCCCGGUACUGACGCUGAGGUGCGAAGGCUAGGGGAGCGAACGGG
rnacentral:rRNA from 1 species